UACAGAGGGUGCGAGCGUUGUCCGGAAUCACUGGGCGUAAAGGGCGCGUAGGCGGCUUGGUAAGGUUGCGGUGAAAGCCCGGGGCUCAACCCCGGGUCGGCCGUGGCAACUGCUGAGCUGGAGCACUGUAGAGGCAGGUGGAAUUCCGGGUGUAGCGGUGAAAUGCGCAGAUAUCAGGAGGAACACCGGUGGCGAAGGCGGGUCUCUGGGCCGAUACUGACGCUGAGGAGCGAAAGCAUGGGUAGCGAACAGG
rnacentral:rRNA from 1 species